rnacentral:rRNA from 1 species
GAGUUUGAUCAUGGCUCAGAACGAACGCUGGCGGCGUGCCUAACACAUGCAAGUCGAACGAGAAAACGGACUUCGGUCCUGAGUACAGUGGCAGACGGGUGAGUAACACGUGGGUAACCUGCCCUCGAAUGGGGAAUAACCCAGGGAAACUUGGGCUAAUACCGCAUGACAUCACGGGCUCCCUGGAGCCUGUGAUCAAAGGUGGGGAUCGCGAGACCUGCCGUUCGAGGAGGGGCCCGCGCCUGAUUAGCUUGUUGGUGGGGUAACGGCUCACCAAGGCGACGAUCAGUAGCCGGCCUGAGAGGGUGAUCGGCCACACUGGAACUGAGACACGGUCCAGACUCCUACGGGAGGCAGCAGUGAGGAAUCUUGCGCAAUGGGCGAAAGCCUGACGCAGCAACGCCGCGUGGGUGAUGAAGGCCUUCGGGUCGUAAAACCCUGUCGGGUGGGAAGAACGGGCGGCGAGUUAAUACCUCGUCGUUUUGACUGUACCACCAAAGGAAGCCCCGGCUAACUCCGUGCCAGCAGCCGCGGUAAUACGGAGGGGGCCAGCGUUGUUCGGAAUCAUUGGGCGUAAAGGGCGCGUAGGCGGCCAUGCAAGUCAGUUGUGAAAUCCCCUGGCUUACCCAGGGAACUGCUUCUGAAACUGCGUGGCUUG